ensembl:lncRNA
UGACAACAGAGGGACAACAUAACUGAUGGGAAGCUAGCAUAGUUAUCAACCUCUACAAACGUUUCUCUGCUUGCAGUAGUGUUCUUGCAACUGUCAUGUUUUUACGUCGAUAUAAUUAAAAUUCGUUGUAGUUAGCGAAGCGGCUUGUCAGCUUUCUUGUAAGACGUUGAGUGUCAUCAGUUCGCACUCCGGAUUAACAUUAUUACUGUACUUCAAUCAAAAGCUACCUGGCAACUUGUAAGCUAGCUAUCUUAUGUUAGCUUGACUGAUUCAGUGGUGCCAUCCCCGCCUGGUAAAAAAAACAAUAUUUUUUUACUGGUAAAUCCAACGCUGGCUAGUUGUUCGGCCUGUUCGUCUUUUAUCGAGGUCCUAUAAGAAACACUGAUCAGAAAAUUCAGUGACAAAAGCAUGGCAUAAGGGGAGUAUCAAAGAGGCUACUGUACUGUCAAAUGAACUGUCAGACAUAACCAGAAUUGACAGGACUUGUGGGGAGGUUACAAUGAGACGUUUUGACAAGGGUUUGUUUACAAGAAUGCGUCAUUGCAACAAUAUAAAAGGAAUAUCAGAUAUAAAACAAUAGAAAAAGUGUUAUUUAGUAUCAACAAGCACCAGAAGGGUAAAGAAUGGUAAGGACUGUGCAUAAACGUUACCUGAACGUGAAAUGUGAAUAACUUUGUUAUAACACGGGUAUUUAACAAAAGUGACUACUACUAAAGUACCACACAGAAAGUCUUAGCCAUAACAGCUACUUGUGCAGCAGAUUUAGACUAUGUUUUAUGGAAUCUGGACACACCCCACAUGCCUUUAUUAAUUAGGCUAUUACAAUUUGUACUCAUAACAUUUUCACCCAGCACAGCCAGAAGAGGACUGACCGCCCCUCAGAGCCUGGUACCUCUCAAGAUUUUUUCUAUGUUUCGACCCAAUUAUGGUGAUUUUUUUCUAGCCACUGUGCAUCAACCCUGUUGUUGCUUGCUCUUUGGGUUUCAGGCUGAUAUAAAAAGGACUUUAUAAAUGUGAUUGAUUGAAACUACUCACCAUAUCCAUGCAAAACUUAAAUCAACCUAUGAUCUGCUGAUUUGAUCAUCGGGAAUGCUCUUUCUAAG